rnacentral:lncRNA from 1 species
UUGUGUUGUGCAAUUAUAUUUUGGUUUUGGGUUAGAGAAGAGAUUUAUAUUUUUGACGUGGAGGUCUUCUAUAAAUUCCUUGUUAUAAAAACCACAACCAUUAUAGGCAUUGUUGGCCGAACCAGUAUAAAAAUAUGUGUUUGCAUUUCUCUAUCCCUUAUCUUUUACAUUUCAGUCGACUUUAUUCUUUACACAGUCAACU